AGCGAACGCUGGCGGCAGGCCUAACACAUGCAAGUCGAACGGACCCUUCGGGGUUAGUGGCGGACGGGUGAGUAACACGUGGGAACGUGCCUUUAGGUUCGGAAUAGCUCCUGGAAACGGGUGGUAAUGCCGAAUGUGCCCUUCGGGGGAAAGAUUUAUCGCCUUUAGAGCGGCCCGCGUCUGAUUAGCUAGUUGGUGAGGUAACGGCUCACCAAGGCGACGAUCAGUAGCUGGUCUGAGAGGAUGACCAGCCACACUGGGACUGAGACACGGCCCAGACUCCUACGGGAGGCAGCAGUGGGGAAUCUUGCGCAAUGGGCGAAAGCCUGACGCAGCCAUGCCGCGUGAAUGAUGAAGGUCUUAGGAUUGUAAAAUUCUUUCACCGGGGACGAUAAUGACGGUACCCGGAGAAGAAGCCCCGGCUAACUUCGUGCCAGCAGCCGCGGUAA
rnacentral:rRNA from 1 species